GUGAGCCUGGGGGAAACGCUGCUCCCCGAAAGGAAAUGCAGGCCGGAUGGAUGUUGGACAGAAAAGACAUUAAAACUCCAUUCAGUGAUUUCUAUACAGAAGCUUGAGGAAAAAGGCCAAGGAAGGAGUGAAGCUUUAUAGAGAAUUCGUGCCACCGUGAUCGGUCGGGCUUUGCGUCAGUAAAUUUUGGCUGUGCCCCUGUCUCAAAGCUGGAGUGACAGAGACCCACGAAAUACAAUUUUCCUUCCAGCUAAGGCUGAUGGAAAUCUUCAUGCUGAUAAUAUCGACAGCCCUACUCCCAAAGCAGGAACCCGGGGAAACUUGGCAAGAAACACUGACUCUGGCUCCAGCUCCCAGCCUUGGCCACAGGAACCGCAGUGGAUGACCCGGGCACCUGAUCCUCCUAAUCUGAAGGCAGGGGACACACAGUCACACAAAACUGCUGUGGCUUGUGCAGCCGAGCCAAGCCUGCCUGCCAAGCCUUUUCCGAUGGCACAAACCCCAGUUUUAGAAGACUCCAGGUGGAGAAGGACUUUGGAAAAGGGCACCCGUUUUGGCCAGUGUACGAUAACAA